rnacentral:rRNA from 1 species
GACGAACGCUGGCGGCGUGCUUAACGCAUGCAAGUCGAACGGAAAGGCCCUGCUUGCCGGGUACUCGAGUGGCGAACGGGUGAGUAACACGUGGGUGAUCUGCCCUGCACUUCGGGAUAAGCCUGGGAAACUGGGUCUAAUACCGGAUAGGAGCCAUUUUUAGUGUGAUGGUUGGAAAGUUUUUUCGGUGUAGGAUGAGCUCGCGGCCUAUCAGCUUGUUGGUGGGGUAAUGGCCUACCAAGGCGGCGACGGGUAGCCGGCCUGAGAGGGUGGACGGCCACAUUGGGACUGAGAUACGGCCCAGACUCCUACGGGAGGCAGCAGGGGGGAAUAUUGCACAAUGGGCGCAAGCCUGAUGCAGCGACGCCGCGUGGGGGAGGACGGCCUUCGGGUUGGAAACUCCUUUCGCUAGGGACGAAGCUUUUUGUGACGGUACCUAGAGAAGAAGCACCGGCUAACUACGUG